GGCCUAAUGGUCUAGUAGUAUGAUUCUCGCUUUGGGUGAUGACGACCUCAUGUAAUUGUGCGAGAGGUCCUGGGUUCAAUUCCCAGUUGGGCCC